rnacentral:rRNA from 1 species
AGUGGGGAAUUUUCCGCAAUGGGCGAAAGCCUGACGGAGCAAUACCGCGUGAGGGAGGAAGGCUCUUGGGUUGUAAACCUCUUUUCUCAGGGAAGAAGGAUGACGGUACCUGAGGAAUAAGCAUCGGCUAACUCCGUGCCAGCAGCCGCGGUAAUACGGAGGAUGCAAGCGUUAUCCGGAAUUAUUGGGCGUAAAGCGUCCGCAGGUGGCAAUUCAAGUCUGCUGUCAAAGGUCGGGGCUUAACCCCGGAAAGGCAGUGGAAACUGAAUAGCUAGAGUGCGGUAGGGGCAGAGGGAAUUCCUGGUGUAGCGGUGAAAUGCGUAGAGAUCAGGAAGAACACCGGUGGCGAAAGCGCUCUGCUGGGCCGCAACUGACACUCAGGGACGAAAGCUAGGGGAGCGAA